AACGAACGCUGGCGGCAUGCCUAACACAUGCAAGUCGAACGGGAUCCGAGCUUCGGUUCGGUGAGAGUGGCGGACGGGUGAGUAACGCGUGGGAACCUGCCCAGUGGUGGGGGAUAACUGCGGGAAACUGCAGCUAAUACCGCAUGAGCCCGAGAGGGGAAAGAUUUAUCGCCAUUGGAGGGCCCGCGUUCGAUUAGGUAGUUGGUGAGGUAACGGCUCACCAAGCCGACGAUCGAUAGCUGGUCUGAGAGGAUGAUCAGCCACACUGGGACUGAGAUACGGCCCAGACUCCUACGGGAGGCAGCAGUGGGGAAUAUUGGACAAUGGGGGCAACCCUGAUCCAGCAAUGCCGCGUGAGUGAUGAAGGCCUUCGGGUUGUAAAGCUCUUUGUCCAGGGACGAUGAUGACGGUACCUGGAGAAUAAGCCCCGGCGUAACUUCGUUGCCAGCAGCCGCGGUAA
rnacentral:rRNA from 1 species